AUUGAACGCUGGCGGCAGGCCUAACACAUGCAAGUCGAGCGGAUGAAGGGAGCUUGCUCCUGGAUUCAGCGGCGGACGGGUGAGUAAUGCCUAGGAAUCUGCCUGGUAGUGGGGGAUAACGUCCGGAAACGGGCGCUAAUACCGCAUACGUCCUGAGGGAGAAAGUGGGGGAUCUUCGGACCUCACGCUAUCAGAUGAGCCUAGGUCGGAUUAGCUAGUUGGUGGGGUAAAGGCCUACCAAGGCGACAAUCCGUAACUGGUCUGAGAGGAUGAUCAGUCACACUCGAACUGAGACACGGUCCAGACUCCUACGGGAGGCAGCAGUGGGGAAUAUUGGACAAUGGGCGAAAGCCUGAUCCAGCCAUGCCGCGUGUGUGAAGAAGGUCUUCGGAUUGUAAAGCACUUUAAGUUGGGAGGAAGGGCAGUAAGUUAAUACCUUGCUGUUUUGACGUUACCAACAGAAUAAGCACCGGCUAACUUCGUG
rnacentral:rRNA from 1 species